rnacentral:rRNA from 1 species
GACGGGGGGGGCAAGUGUUCUUCGGAAUGACUGGGCGUAAAGGGCACGUAGGCGGUGAAUCGGGUUGAAAGUGAAAGUCGCCAAAAAGUGGCGGAAUGCUCUCGAAACCAAUUCACUUGAGUGAGACAGAGGAGAGUGGAAUUUCGUGUGUAGGGGUGAAAUCCGUAAAUAUACGAAGGAACGCCAAAAGCGAAGGCAGCUCUCUGGGUCCCUACCGACGCUGAGACGCGAAAGCGUGGGGAGCAAACAGG